rnacentral:lncRNA from 1 species
GGGGAACUCCAGGGUGGAUGCUUCUUGGUUGGUGUGAGCGUGGAAGAGGCAUUUUGGUUGCCUUUGUUGACACGUUCCCGCAUGUCGUUGGCAACUCUGUUCAGUAAACAUGUUUUGAGCACUCACUACCUAUGCAGCCCCCGUGCUAGGUGCCAAACGAAGAUACACACCUGAAGAAAAUACUGUGAGAUGAGUUGAUGCCAUCUUAGAUGACAUUUCCUCAGAAACUAAGAUUUUUUUUUUGAGAACUUUUUUUUUUUGUUUUUCCUGGGAACCUCCAUAUGUUGUGGAUGCAGCCCUAAAAAGCAAAAACAACAACAGCAAAAAAAACCCCUCUCCUCAAGAUGGAUACAUAUUUUUUGGUUUUGAAUCACAUACCAUCCUGCUCAGCAGGGAAAGUGUCUGUCAAUCAUAUUCUUAUCUCUAAUGAGCAUUUGCAGGUUUGUUCGUCUGUCCUGUCUGAAUAGGGUAGAUUUUGGCAUGGCUGCUUAUCCUAAGUUGGGAGAGGCCAAGGGUAGCAGUGGUAGAGGAGUUAAAGAUCAGAAUGAAGGAGCUGGGCCCAAUUAUUUAUGGUGAACUCAGACAUUCCCCUCCUAUCCGAUGCUUUACUCCCAUUAAAACUGUUAGACCAAUUUCAUUAGCUCCAAAAUGCACCAGCAUAUGUAAAUCUUCCUUGUUUAAUUGGAGACCUAUUGAUUGUAGGUAACAUAAGCCUCUCUAAGGGAAACAGAACCCAACUGAAGAUAAGAGUUUCUUCCCCCAACACAUACAGCAUUCACAAUUUUAUUUCUCUAGGCAUGUUCAUUAUCAAAACCAUUCCACUGCAGACUUUCCCAGAAAGUGUUUCCGUCUGGCCGUGUUUUCCUAUCUAAAAGCUCCUACUGGUUUCAGCAAAGGAUAAUGGAAGGAUUUUGACAGACUAUACAUUUCUUUCUUUUCUUUUCUUUUUUUUUUUAACUCACAUUUUGAGAAAAACGAGAAAGAAAAACUUGUAAAAUAUGAAAAAUUAUUUGUUUUAACGAGAUUAAGUUGUCUUUUGUGUUUUCAGAGAUUGCUAAAAGGGACCAAAUUCUGCCCAUCUUCUUUGGUGAGUUACUGUUACCAGCAUUAUUCCAGUGGGGAGUGAAAACUGGAAUGCAGUUUUCCCCCUUACAUUCUAAUUGCAUCUCAAAGUUACAGAGAAGAUGGUGUACCAGCCUGCACUUGGCAAAGUGACAUAAAGUAUGGGAUUUUCCCAGUGUGCUUCCUAGGAUUGAGACAUUAUAUAUAUGUUUAAACUAAUGAGAAAACCUGCAUUUACUUAUACAUGUUCCUGCUAUUCCACUUAUUUCUAAAGUGUAAGAUUCAGGUCAAGGGCAAGGUAUGGCUAGUUGCUUACAGGGAAGUAAGAAUCUUAGGAAAGAGGAAUAUCUAUUUAGAUGUUGUAGUCAUACAGUAACUCAGAAAUUAUCUUUAAAUGCAAAAAUUGUUGGAGUAUUAGAGUGGUAAAUAUCUCUUUUGCUCUCUUAAAAUUGUGCUCAGGGAGUUCCCGUCAUGGUGCAGCAGAAACGAAUCCAACUAGGAACCAUGAGGUUACAGGUUCUAUCCCUGGCCUCUCUCAGUGGGUUAAGCAUCUGGCGUUGCCGUGUGCGGCCCUGGAAAAAAAAAAAAAAAAAA